rnacentral:tRNA from 1 species
UGCGGAAUGGUGUAACGGUAGCACAGCAGACUCUGACUCUGUAUGUGAGGGUUCGAAUCCUUCUUCCGCAGCCA